ACUCCUACGGGAGGCAGCAGUGGGGAAUUUUGGACAAUGGGCGAAAGCCUGAUCCAGCAAUGCCGCGUGAGUGAAGAAGGCCUUCGGGUUGUAAAGCUCUUUUGUCAGGGAAGAAACGGUGAGAGCUAAUAUCUUUUGCUAAUGACGGUACCUGAAGAAUAAGCACCGGCUAACUACGUGCCAGCAGCCGCGGUAAUACGUAGGGUGCAAGCGUUAAUCGGAAUUACUGGGCGUAAAGCGUGCGCAGGCGGUUUUGUAAGUCUGAUGUGAAAUCCCCGGGCUCAACCUGGGAAUUGCAUUGGAGACUGCAAGGCUAGAAUCUGGCAGAGGGGGGUAGAAUUCCACGUGUAGCAGUGAAAUGCGUAGAUAUGUGGAGGAACACCGAUGGCGAAGGCAGCCCCCUGUGUCAAGAUUGACGCUCAUGCACGAAAGCGUGGGGAGCAAACAGGAUUAGAUACCCUUGUAGUCCCAUGAU
rnacentral:rRNA from 1 species